AUGAGUGCUCUAAGUUGGAACUGCCGAGGGCUUGGGAACCCUUGGUCAGUUCGAGAGCUUCACAAAGCUGUGAAGCAAGAAGCUCCCGCCCUUUUGUUUGUCAUGGAAACCAAAAUCAAGGGCAAGUGUGUGGAAUAUUUGAAGUUUACUCUGGGCUUUUCAGGCUGUUUUGCUGUCGAUAGUGACGGACUGAGUGGAGGAGUCGGCCUCUUUUGGACAAAGGAGGUUGUGGUUUCUCUGCAAAGUUUCAGUUUAUCUCAUAUUGACAUCAAAGUCGAGAAAGAUAAUAAGAGUUGGCGCUUCACGGGGUUCUACGGUGAGCCCAGAGUGGCCAAUAAAUAUCUUAGCUGGCAGCUUUUACGUACUUUGUUUGCUGUUCAACAUGAAGUAUGGAUUUGCAUGGGUGACUUUAACGAGACGCUUCAUGGGGACGAGCAUUUUGGAGCCAACGCGAGACCGGAGAGGCAAAUGCGUGCUUUCUAG
rnacentral:rRNA from 1 species